UACGAAGGGGGCGAGCGUUGUUCGGAUUUACUGGGCGUAAAGGGCGCGCAGGCGGCUCAUUUUGUCAGGCGUGAAAGCCCCGGGCUCAACCUGGGAACCGCGCUUGAGACUGGCACGCUCGAGUUCGGGAGAGGAUGGUGGAAUUCCCAGUGUAGAGGUGAAAUUCGUAGAUAUUGGGAAGAACACCGAUGGCGAAGGCAGCCAUCUGGACCGACACUGACGCUGAGGCGCGAAAAGCGGUGGGGAGCAAACAGG
rnacentral:rRNA from 1 species